UCCCUUUUGUAGUUCAUAAGCAUGAUGAUUGGGUGUUCAUUCCAUUGUGUGACAUGUGCCACCCUUAAACCUUGUUACGACGCAGGCACAUUACCCAUCUGACG